rnacentral:tRNA from 1 species
GCCCGGGUGGUGAAAUUGGUAUCCACGAAGGACUUAAAAUCCUUUGGCCUAACAGCCUUGCCGGUUCGAGUCCGGCCCCGGGCA